rnacentral:lncRNA from 1 species
CACGUAAUUCUGUGACUUUAUGUAAUCAUCUUAGUAUUGAUUUUGAUGUAUAUUGUGUCGUGAUCUGAAAAUGUGGUUUAUAUAAUUUCAGUAUUGUUUUAAUUUGCUGAGAAUUGUUUUAUGGACAAUUGUGUUCAAUUUUAGAUUAUAUGCCAUGUGCAAAUAAGAAUGUAUAUUCUGGGAAGUGGUUCCAAGAUGGCCGAAUAGGAACAGCUCCAGUCUACAGCUCCCAGUGUGAGCAACACAGAAGAUGGGUGACUUCUGCAUUUCCAACUGAGGAUGUACUUACAGAAACUCUGGUACAAGUAUACAGAGACAUUCAUUGCAGCACUGUUUGUGAAAAUGAAAUAUUGUAAUAAACCAAAAUAGUAAUCAACAACAAAAUGGAUGUUUAAAUGUAUUGUUCCAUGGAUGCCAAAAAUGUCACAUGUGUACUCUGAAAUAGACUAUUUUUGGCAACAGAUUUAAAAGGUGACAAGGAGUGUUGGAGAUAAAAUAUAAAGAAAAUUUUAAAAAUAAAACAUCGAAUAAAAAAGGCAAACUGCAGAAAAUUUAAAUGUAAUAAAAUUUAUGUUGAAAAUAAAGUUCAGGUAAGUAAGAUUAUGACAAAUCUAGAGUUCUAUUUCAGGCUUGCUGACAAUGUAACUAUUAAAAUAAAAACAAAAUAUUUUCUUGAAUAUCUUUAAGAGUGUAUUUAUCUAGUUAGAAAAAGAAAUUCUAAAUCAUAAAGACCCAGAGCCACCUCCCAGAAAUCUCAGGUGUGGGCCAUGGAAGAGAAGUAAUCUUUUUUUCUCACAGUAUGAAG